rnacentral:rRNA from 1 species
UACGGAGGAUCCAAGCGUUAUCCGGAUUUAUUGGGCUUAAAGGGUGCGUAGGCGGCCUGUUAAGUCAGGGGUGAAAGACGGUAGCUCAACUAUCGCAGUGCCCUUGAUACUGAUGGGCUUGAAUGGACUAGAGGUAGGCGGAAUGAGACAAGUAGCGGUGAAAUGCAUAGAUAUGUCUCAGAACACCGAUUGCGAAGGCAGCUUACUAUGGUCUUAUUGACGCUGAGGCACGAAAGCGUGGGGAUCAAACAGG